UACGAAGGGGGCUAGCGUUGUUCGGAAUUACUGGGCGUAAAGCGCGCGCAGGCGGCUAUCCAAGUCAGUGGUGAAAGCCCGGAGCUCAACUCCGGAACUGCCAUUGAAACUGUUUAGCUUGAGGACGAGAGGGGUGAGUGGAAUUCCCAGUGUAGAGGUGAAAUUCGUAGAUAUUGGGAAGAACACCGGUGGCGAAGGCGGCUCACUGGCUCGUAACUGACGCUCAGGCGCGACAGCGUGGGGAUCAAACAGG
rnacentral:rRNA from 1 species